rnacentral:rRNA from 1 species
UACGUAGGGUGCAAGCGUUGUCCGGAAUUAUUGGGCGUAAAGAGCUCGUAUGCGGUUUGUCGCGUCUGCUGUGAAAAUCCAGGGCUUAACCCUGGACCUGCAGUGGGUACGGGCAGACUGGAGUGCGGUAGGGGAGAUCGGAAUUCCUGGUGUAGCGGUGAAAUGCGCAGAUAUCAGGAGGAACACCGAUGGCGAAGGCAGGUCUCUGGGCAUUAACUGACGCUGAGGAGCGAAAGCAUGGGGAGCGAACAGG